GACGAACGCUGGCGGCGUGCUUAACACAUGCAAGUCGAACGAAAAGGCCCUGCUUUUGUGGGGUGCUCGAGUGGCGAACGGGUGAGUAACACGUGAGUAACCUGCCCUUGACUUUGGGAUAACUUCAGGAAACUGGGGCUAAUACCGGAUAGGAGCUCCUGCUGCAUGGUGGGGGUUGGAAAGUUUCGGCGGUUGGGGAUGGACUCGCGGCUUAUCAGCUUGUUGGUGGGGUAGUGGCUUACCAAGGCUUUGACGGGUAGCCGGCCUGAGAGGGUGACCGGCCACAUUGGGACUGAGAUACGGCCCAGACUCCUACGGGAGGCAGCAGUGGGGAAUAUCGCACAAUGGGCGGAAGCCUGAUGCAGCAACGCCGCGUGCGGGAUGACGGCCUUCGGGUUGUAAACCGCUUUCGCCUGUGACGAAGCGUGAGUGACGGUAAUGGGUAAAGAAGCACCGGCUAACUACGUG
rnacentral:rRNA from 1 species